rnacentral:lncRNA from 13 species
GAGCUGUGUGUGUGUUUGUGUGUUUGUAUGUAUGUGUGUGUUUGUGUUUCAAGCUGCAGCCUUUUAGCUCAGGAAAGGCCUGAAGGUUGGUGGAAUAUAGGCAAAUAAAGAAUUAAUCUUUCCACUUCAUAUGUAAAUAACUGUGAAUAAUACAGUUAUGUAAGUCUUUUAAGCACACACAUCAGAUAUCCAUAUGGAAGUCUGCUGAAAUGUCACAUUUCUACUGUACAGUGACUCACAGGGCCACCUGGAAUAUAUGACACCACAUCUACUGUGGCACAGGACAUCCCUUUGAGGGGAACUGGGUCACCAGUCAAAUAUUCAUGGGCUGUGGGCUUCGCUUCACCAGUGACUGCAUAAAGACAAACCUCAGGACAGCAUGGAGCUACCUGCCAGUUGCGGAGGCCCCAGAGCUACAUGGCCUGUUUGGGUGUGUAUGCCCAGGAGUGCGUGUGUGAAACUACAGAUGGGUGUGUACUACUGAGCAGAAGAUCACCUUGACUGUGGCCUAUCAGAGAGCCGUGGGCUGUGGAGCUGAGGAGGUGGGGUUGGGCUGGUUUCCAAAAUGCUGUUCUGCUCAGCAUAGCCAUCUACAUCCCCCUCCUCUGACUGAUUACAACAGCCGCCCCGGUCAUAAUUGGUGGAAAUGUUACCAGCAUCUGGGUCUGGUGAGCAUCUCCAACGACAGCGGUUGUCCAGGCAGCCGACGUUGGCUACUACGCUGGAGUACCUGCCACUCAGCAUUACCAGUGGCACGCCCAGAAGAGACAAGGCAUUUCACGCUUCCAAGAAAUGAGGCCGUUUGAGAGCAACAUUUGAUAAUAUGCUUAUUUCACCUCCCCCACAACCCCCUCCACCACUAACGCCGACCCUCAGGGAAGGAAAGUAAAGGGGGUGGAGAAUUUUUAAUAGCACUUUGGGACAGGGCUGGAGAAUGAAUCUCUCGACAGCGCAACGUGUCAUAAUGUCAUUUUUAUAAUGCCAUUUUAUAUUUCUUUCUACUGUAAAAUCACUGCCUCUAUAAUGACAGAAGACAUGGGAUUCUCGUUUGCAUUGAAAAGGGAGGGAGGAUAAAUCAAAUCAACUUGUAUUGGUCACAUACACAUAUUUAGCAGAUGUUGUUGCGGGUGUAGCAAAAUGCUUGUGUUCCUAGCUCCAACAGUGCAGUAGUAUCUAACUAUUCACAACAAUACACACAAAUCUAAAAGUAAAAUAAUGGUAUUAAGAAAUAUAUAAAUAUUAGAUUGCUCAAUGUCGGAGUGGCAUUGACUAAAAAACAGUUGAAUAGAAUAAAGUAUAUACAUUUGAGAUGAGUAAAGCAGUGUGUAAACAUUAAAGUGACUAGCGUUCCAUUUUUAAAGUGGCCAGUGAUUCCAAGUUCAUGUAUAAAGCGCAGCAGCCUCUAAGGUGCAGGGUUGAGUAACCGGGUGGAAGCCGGCUAGUGAUGGCCAUUUAACAGUCGGAAGGCCUUGAGAUAGAAGUUGUUUUUCAGUCUCUCUGUCCCAACUUUGAUUCACCUGUACUGACCUCGCCUUCUGGAUAAUAGCGGGGUCAACAGGCCAUGGAUCGGGUGGUUGAUGUCCUUUUUCGCCUUUCUCUUACAUUGGGUCAACUUACUUGUGUUGAUCAGAAACAUCUGGAUAGGUGUAAGCAAUAGGGUGUAUGCACUUUGAAGUAAAUCUCUGCUCAGAAAGCCCUUACAGAAAGCCUUUAAAUUGCUGAAAUAAGUAAAACAACCCAAUGAUGAGAGUAUAGUCAGAAGAACUGAUACCUGACACGGAAAUGGUGGCGUAACAGGAAGAUUGGAAUACCAUGAACCAAGAGUUUUAGUUCAAAUCCCAGGUGAGGACAUGUUGAAUGAAAAUUACUGUACAAAUGACAUGCACAAUGUGUGUAAAAUAUGUGGAUUAAAAACACUUUAUUAAGAUGUAUGUGUGUGUGUCCUUAACUUUGCCUACAGACAAAACGCUGUGAAUG